GGGAGCAAAACAGAGGAAGAGCAGAGCAUGCCGAACGGAGCUGAAUACACGGACGCUGAAGGCGAGCUGGGCGCGGCUGGAGAAAGGACCAGAGAACACGCAGACGCAGACCAGCGAGCUGAGGGCGGAAGACGCAGCGAAACAGAGAAGUGAACCAUUCAGCGUGAACAGUGUUCUUCCAUGGGAUCCUGUAGCAAAAUACUGAUUGCAGCGAAUUUUAUGGCAAACCGUGGCUAAUUCCUAAUUCUCUAAUUCAACAAUAAU